rnacentral:tRNA from 1 species
AGUAGCGUGGCCGAGCGGUCUAAGGCGCUGGUUUAAGGCACCAGUGUCUUCGGGUGCGUGGGUUCGAAUCCCACCGCUGCCA